UUCAGCUUUUGUAGGUUCAGCUGUCAUAGGUGUUGCUGUUGUAGGUGCUGCUGGUCGUAGGUGCGGCUGUUUUAGGUGCUGCUGUCGUAGGUGCAGCUCUUGUAGGUGCUGCCAUUGUAGGUGCGGCUUUUGUAGGUUCUGCUUUUGUAGGUGCUGCUUUCAUAGGUGCAGAGGUUGUAGGUGCCACUUUCGAAGGUGCUGCUGUUGUGCGUGUGACUGUUGU